rnacentral:rRNA from 1 species
UACGUAGGGACCAAGCGUUGUUCGGAUUUACUGGGCGUAAAGGGCGCGUAGGCGGCGCGGUAAGUCACUUGUGAAAUCUCUGAGCUUAACUCAGAACGGCCAAGUGAUACUGCAGUGCUAGAGUGUGGAAGGGGCAAUCGGAAUUCUUGGUGUAGCGGUGAAAUGCGUAGAGAUCCGGAGGAACACCAGAGGCGAAGGCGGCCUACUGGGCUGCACCUGACGCUGAGCCGCGAAAGCCAGGGGAGCGAACGGG